ensembl:lncRNA
CAGAAAGCGCCUGGACAACAGCGCCGUAAAAUAAAAAGGCUCUGAAUUUGGACACCCCGCUGUUUACGGAUGGACAAUAAUAACGGUGGGUCUAGGGGUCAACCAUUACAGCGAAGACCCAUGGACGACAGGACCAGAGGUCAACGACGGGGCGAAGGCGGGACCUUUCAAGUGGCUUGGAUUGUGGCAAUUAGCAGGCGGCCAGCGGUGGCGUGGCUUGGCAGGUGGUCUGCUGCAGUGUGGAUUAGCUGGUGGCUGGCACCCUUUGGAGGAUUGGCAGGUGGACUCCACGGUGGUGUCCGCGGCAGGUGGCGGCGUGGAAUCCGGGGCAGGUGUCGUGGAGUCCGUGGCAGGCAGCGGAGAGGGACCAACUGAUUUGGAGUGGAGUCCACUGCAGGUGACUCUGGUACUGCACUCUCAAAGACUGAAUGAACCAGCAUUGCAGCCAUGGGUCACUGUGAGCAUCACAGGGAAGGUUGAAGCAGCCCACUGCAGCUGUAUGGCCGGAGUCGCAGAGACCUGCAGCCAUGUCGCUGCUCUUCUGUUUAAUGUAGAAGCAACAGUGUUGAUCCGUGGCACAAGGACUGUUACAGAUGAACCUGCAAACUGGGUUUUGCUGGGUAAUGUGACCAAGAUACAGCCAGAGAUUGGCCAUAAGAUAGACUUCUCCUCUUCAGCUGCCUAAAAAAAGGCUCUUGAUCAAAACAUAAACAGACCAUCCGUAGUGACAGGUAAAAGAAGCCGUCCUCAAAAAAGGAAAAUUCCACCUGCUACUGUGGAGGAGUCUAGAUGUAUGCCUGUAGUGCACUGCCGUGUAAAUAAUUUGCAUUUACUGAAUAUGUACUGACUGAGUACCACUGUUCAAAAGUUGAAUAAAGAAACAAACUAAUUUUUGCCUCUUUUUUAUUUUUUUUAUUAAAACCACCUUAUAGAGCAUCACAUCAGUAACAGUGUAGAAUCCAUGUCAUUUAUAGUUUACAAAUGACAAAAUGUUUACACAAAAUCAUGA